GACGAACGCUGGCGGCGUGCUUAACACAUGCAAGUCGAACGGAAAGGCCCUUCGGGGUACUCGAGUGGCGAACGGGUGAGUAACACGUGGGUGAUCUGCCCUGCACUUUGGGAUAAGCCUGGGAAACUGGGUCUAAUACCGAAUAGGACCACGCGCUUCAUGGUGUGUGGUGGAAAGCUUUUGCGGUGUGGGAUGGGCCCGCGGCCUAUCAGCUUGUUGGUGGGGUAAUGGCCUACCAAGGCGACGACGGGUAGCCGGCCUGAGAGGGUGACCGGCCGCACUGGGACUGAGAUACGGCCCAGACUCCUACGGGAGGCAGCAGUGGGGAAUAUUGCACAAUGGGCGCAAGCCUGAUGCAGCGACGCCGCGUGAGGGAUGACGGCCUUCGGGUUGUAAACCUCUUUCAAUAGGGACGAAGCGCAAGUGACGGUACCUAUAGAAGAAGCACCGGCCAACUACGUGCCAGCAGCCGCGGUAAUACGUAGGGUGCGAGCGUUGUCCGGAAUUACUGGGCGUAAAGAGCUCGUAGGUGGUUUGUCGCGUUGUUCGUGAAAACUCACAGCUUAACUGUGGGCGUGCGGGCGAUACGGGCAGACUAGAGUACUGCAGGGGAGACUGGAAUUCCUGGUGUAGCGGUGGAAUGCGCAGAUAUCAGGAGGAACACCGGUGGCGAAGGCGGGUCUCUGGGCAGUAACUGACGCUGAGGAGCGAAAGCGUGGGGAGCGAACAGGAUUAGAUACCCUGGUAGUCCACGCCGUAAACGGUGGGUACUAGGUGUGGGUUCCUUCCUUGGGAUCCGUGCCGUAGCUAACGCAUUAAGUACCCCGCCUGGGGAGUACGGCCGCAAGGCUAAAACUCAAAGGAAUUGACGGGGGCCCGCACAAGCGGCGGAGCAUGUGGAUUAAUUCGAUGCAACGCGAAGAACCUUACCUGGGUUUGACAUGCACAGGACGCCGGCAGAGAUGUCGGUUCCCUUGUGGCCUGUGUGCAGGUGGUGCAUGGCUGUCGUCAGCUCGUGUCGUGAGAUGUUGGGUUAAGUCCCGCAACGAGCGCAACCCUUGUCCUAUGUUGCCAGCGGGUUAUGCCGGGGACUCGUAGGAGACUGCCGGGGUCAACUCGGAGGAAGGUGGGGAUGACGUCAAGUCAUCAUGCCCCUUAUGUCCAGGGCUUCACACAUGCUACAAUGGCCGGUACAAAGGGCUGCGAUGCCGUGAGGUGGAGCGAAUCCUUUCAAAGCCGGUCUCAGUUCGGAUCGGGGUCUGCAACUCGACCCCGUGAAGUCGGAGUCGCUAGUAAUCGCAGAUCAGCAACGCUGCGGUGAAUACGUUCCCGGGCCU
rnacentral:rRNA from 1 species